rnacentral:rRNA from 1 species
AGUGAACGCUGGCGGUAGGCCUAACACAUGCAAGUCGAACGGCAGCACAGUAAGAGCUUGCCCUUACGGGUGGCGAGUGGCGGACGGGUGAGGAAUACAUCGGAAUCUACUUUUUCGUGGGGGACAACGUAGGGAAACUUACGCUAAUACCGCAUACGAUCUACGGGUGAAAUCAGGGGAGCUUCGGACCUUGCGCGAUUCAAUGAGCCGAUGCCGGAUUAGCUAGUUGGCUAGGUAAAGGCCCACCAAGGCGACGAUCCGUAGCUGGUCUGAGAGGAUGAUCGGCCACACUGGAACUGAGACACGGUCCAGACUCCUACGGGAGGCAGCAGUGGGGAAUAUUGGGCAAUGGGCGCAAGCCUGAUCCAGCCAUACCGCGUGGGUGAAGAAGGCCUUCGGGUUGUAAAGCCCUUUUGUUGGGAAAGAAAAGCAGCAGGUUAAUACCCCGCUGUUCUGACGGUACCCAAAGAGUAAGCACCGGCUAACUUCGUG